CUUGAAGCGGUUGUAAGUUCGGCACAAGCCGGUACAAUGGCGCCGGCUCACUGCAUGGUGAGCUGCGUUAUGGUGGUCCUGCCGGUCCCCCCGCAACGAUUACCCGUGAACCUGGUCAGAUCCGGAAGGAAGCAGCCACAGCGGGAACAUUGUGUGCCGGGGUGUGGCUGGCAGGAUCGCCUCCAUCUCCAAG
rnacentral:SRP_RNA from 1 species